UACGUAGGGUGCGAGCGUUGUCCGGAAUUAUUGGGCGUAAAGAGCUCGUAGGCGGUGUGUCGCGUCGGCCGUGAAAACCUGCAGCUUAACUGUGGGCGUGCGGUCGAUACGGGCAUCACUGGAGUUCGGCAGGGGAGACUGGAAUUCCUGGUGUAGCGGUGAAAUGCGUAGAUAUUGUGAGGAACACUAGUGGCGAAGGCGAAUCUCUGGACAGUUCCUGACGCUGAGGCACGAAGGCCAGGGGAGCAAACGGG
rnacentral:rRNA from 1 species